CUAGGCGUCACUGGCACUCGGUCUCUCGAACCAAAACUCGAAGUACCAAAGCAAACCUCUGCUGCUCGACUCAGAUCCACAAUGGCUCCUGUUGGUCCUCGAACUGGUGACGCAAUCUUCUCCAGCGUUGAGCGCGUGAAUGCUGAGCUGUUUACCUUGACGUACGGGGCGAUUGUGCGCCAAUUGCUUACGGAUCUGGAGGAGGUUGAGGAAGUAAACAAACAGCUUUAAUAAAUAUGCAUCGACUUUGAAGAGACAGCUGAAACAAUUGCAAAGGUUGGUUAUAAAAUGUUCUUAGGGGUCACUGCAUCUGUAAGACUGUAACCAAUUGGGAUGCUGAUGGGACAUGUUGCAGUAUCAUUUCGGAGGAUAAUCCUCUGGUAGACUUUGUUGAGCUGCCUGAUACAUGUCAAGGUCUACACUAUUGCCACAUUUUAAGUGGAGUCAAACUGCUUAUUGGGGCCAUUGGACUGGGGGUUCACCCCUUGAAUUAACCAAGGUGCACUUGUGGAAAACUCCUUGCUAAGGGCUUGUGCACCCUCGGGAUUAGUCAGAGCGAAGGUCCGGAUACCCGAUGCCAAAUCAAAAAGUGGAGUCAUCAGCGGAGCCUUGGAGAUGGUGAGUUCCACCUCGUCCUACUGCACAUCUUUAACUAUUUUCUUUUUCCUUGGCACGCCAUAAUGCUAUACAUAUAUUCUUUGCUGUCUACAUGCUCCUUCAAAAAUUGUUCUCUUAUUAUGAAUUAUAGAUUACAUCGUGUUGCUGGAAAAACUAGACCACUGGUUGUAUAUAUCGACUUAUUGUGUGGAGCAACUAAAGCCUCAACUUGACACAUUUCUUCGUUCUUUGUUCUUAUUCUUCUGUAUUUUUGUUAUUGGUCUUUUAAGUAGCCGAAUCUGACAUAAGCAUUCUAUCUAUUUUAACCUUUUUGGCUAUUAGUAUCAACAUUUUCUCAUAGAUGGAAAGAUAUGGUCUUGUGCUAUAAGAGGCUUCCGUUCUAAGCCUUUCCAUCUUGUUGUGAACUUUUAGUCACUUAAUUAAAGUCUGGUGGCCAUGACUUUAGUUUGAUGGAAGAUCAGAAAGGAAAAAGAACAUAAUCUUUUUACUUGAGGAUUUUCAUUUCUGUGUUGUGGUUUCGAACAUCUUUGAACCUUAUUAAUCAAUGAGCUCUAGCUCAAGUAACAUCUCCUCCGUCUGUUCUAAUAAGCUCUAGCUCAAGUGGUACCUCCUCCCAUAAGAAUGGAAUGGAGCGAGGGUGAGGUCGUAGGUUUCAGUGUUGCAAGUUAGAAUAGUUUCUUGUUCAUUAUUAUUAUUAUUUUUUUACAUGUCUGCACGAGAAGGGGGAGGGAGAUUUGAACUAGUAACCUUUGCUUCAUUAAGCGUGGUCCUAGCCGAUUGAGCUACCUUUUGAGGACAUUUCUUGUUCUUUAUUGUAUAGAAAUAAUCUGCUUGUUUCUCUGUUUUUUGUCAUAGUAUCUCGAUAACUGUAGAUUGGAAGAUGUAGAUGAUGCUCAAAAUAGUUUUGCAAUAUUUUCGUAUGUUGAGGUGUCAAUAAAGGCUGAAGUCCCUUGGGUCCGUGACAUGCUGCGAGGAGAUGAUGCAUUUGAGUUGCAGGUGAAGCUUUUGAAGCAAGUUCCCGAAGAGUACCCGUACAAAGAUGAUGAGUGACAUGCCAAAAGGCCUCGUAUGUGAUAUGUAUACAAUACAUGAUAUUCUUGUCUCUUCUCUGUCUCCCAAAGAGCAGAAUGUUGGUAGCUUGGCUUCUCGUCUAAUACACGUUUCUUACUUUUAAGUCAAUUUUAUUUCCUUUUAUUUA